ACUUCCCAAGGGUCUCUGCGGCUGCGCGGACCUGGUGCGCCGCGGGCAAACCGGUCACGGCUUUGUAAGUAGCUUAACCGCCUGGGGCCGUCGACCUAGAGCCGGCCAGCUAGGACCAUGCGCAAAUUGUCCUGGGGCACACAGUCGUCCUCUGGUGAACGAUACAACUCGAAACCAAGGGACACCCUCUACUUAUAAGGGCCAUGGCGCCCGGACCAAGAAAUUACAUUUCCCAGAAAACUGCAGCCGUGCCAAGGUCUUCCGGGUCAUUCCUGCGCUCACACAAACGUUUCCCUCCGAGACAUGGGCAGCCCUUGCUGGUACCGCGCAAGUGCUCGCCGUUGCUAGCAAAGGGGCUCCUCUCAUCCCAAACCCUGCCGCUAUGCUGUUCACCUUCAGGUCUUUUUUUUUUUUUUUUUUUGGCACUCAUUUGCCCAAGACGAUAACUCACAAAACGCCCUGUGGCCCGACUGUCACGACUGUAGUUCGCCAACCAAGGGCAUUUCCUGGAAAUGCAAGGGGACACGUAUCUGUGACACUAAUGGCCGUUCUGACGUGCGUUACGCCCCUGGAAGGACUUGGAAAUACUGAACUUGAGUGAGCACUGGGAGGAUGGAGACCCUCAUCCUGGGAGGAGUCACUCCUCCCGCAGCCAUCACAGCCUGACGCCCCCUCUCCCCAGAAGUGCUUCUUAGGCCCACCCAAAAGGGCAAUGGACCUCUCUGUAUGCAAGCCAGAGCAGUCUACUGUUUGUGUAUAUUUGGGUUGUUUACUUUCUUUUUAACACUUAAAUGUUAAUUGACUUCAAUCAUUUUUAAAAUUAUAAAUAGUGUCGCUAUAGACUUUUUUGUACUUAUUAAGUACUGACCUGCAUGAUCUUCGUGAAGCAGUGCUUCUGUUACCAGAAAGGGGUCCGGAUCCGACCCCAAGAGAGAGUUCUUAGAGCUCACGCAAGAAAAAAUCCAUGGGAGAGCACAGUGCAAAGCCAAAGCAAGUGUAUUAAGAAAGUAAAGAAACAAUGGGUACUCCAUUGUUAGAGCAGCAGCUUGGGCUGCUGGACUAGGGAUACUUGUAUUUAUUGCUUGAUGAUGUGCUAAACAAGGGUGGAUUAUUCAUGAGUUUUCCAGGAAAGAGGUGGGCAAUUUCAAUUUCUCGGAGCUGAGGGCUUCCCAGCUUUUUGAACCAUACAGGGUAACUUCUGAACCUUACCAUGGCAUUUGUAAAUUGCCAUGGCACUGAUGAGCGUUUCUCUUAGCGUGCUAAUGCAUAUAAUUAGCAUAUAACCGAGAGGUGAAGCCAGCUGGGCUUCUGGAUCAGGUGGGGCCUUGGAGAACUUUUCUGUAUAGCUGAAGGAUUGUAAAUACACCAAUCAGUGCUCUGUGUCUAGCUAAAGGUUUGUAAAUGCACCAGUCAGCACUCUGUAAAAACGGACCAAACAGCACUCUGUAAAAUAGACCAAUCAGCGCUCUGUAAAAUGGACAAAUCAGCA
rnacentral:lncRNA from 1 species